UGACGAUGAUGAUUUGAUGAAUAUAAGGUCUCGUUCGUCGUAAUGGCGAGUACGCCUUGCCGACCAUCCUGAUAUAUCACCACCCAUAUUCUGAGUCA